GUUAUCAAUUCUCCACCUGAUCAUUUUCAUCCUGGGACUGACUUUUGUGGAAUUCCUUGGAUAGUUAUCAUUAUUGUGUUUCUGGGAAUUUCUACACUUGCUAUUUUCCUCUGGAAAACUAGCCUUUGU
rnacentral:sRNA from 1 species